rnacentral:lncRNA from 1 species
ACCUCUGUAGACAUAGAGGACAGAGAAAAACUUGCAACCACAAACAAACACGAUCACUCAGGCACACACACGCACACACACACACACACACACACACACACACACACACACACACACACCCUGUAAAUUCAGUCAGUGACCACAGUUUGUCAUGAGACAUCCAAACUGUAAUUAGAACGAGAAGUAGACAGAAAGGUGUCGUUUGCAGGCCAAAGGAAACACAGUAAGGAACUGAGAACCAGAGAUAGAUGUCAACUGGCAUCAGUCAUAUGAUAAAACACUAAAAGACAGUGCAGUUGCCUGAGUGACACCCUAGUAAGUGAAGAGGAGUGCUGAAGGAAGAGUGUGUGAAGAGUUGCACACAAUAUAAAAAACACAAUACAAACACAAAGCACAGACCAGUACAGAGACUUAGAUACAAAAUAUGGAAGUGACCUAGACUUCAGCUAAACAGUUGAUAGCAUUUCCACUGUAUACACAUCCACAUAAAACAGAAAAGAGACAGCAAGAGAUAGCGACAAGUUGCUGCGCUGAGAAACCCGAAUUCAUCACAGUGCUUUGGAUACUGCUGACCUCUGGCUACAAGAAAUGGACCUGCUUUUUCUGUUAAUUCUCGGAAUUCGUAUGGCUGUGUCAUCAGUGACGACACAUACAGGAUCUACAGCUGUCUCCACAACCUUCUCCGCACCCAGUCCGGAAAUUCACAUGGAAUUUACGCUCAAUUUGACAUUCAAGAAAGACCUUAGGAAUUCAUCUUCUGAGAAGUUCCUGUUCCUGGCAAAAAAUAUAACAAAAGCGUUAGACUCAUUGUAUGGAAGGAAAUAUCCGUUCAUUGGCACUAUGGUGACAGGCUUCAGGUAG